CGCCGUGCCGCCCCGCCGGCGCAGCAGCAGCAGUAGCAGGGAGGCGUCGCUGGUGGCUGCGCAUGGUGAGCGCCGCGUGCUGGAGCGCUCCGCGCGCGCAGCCGGAGCACCAAGGGGAGGCGGCGUCGAGUUGAUCACUACUAGUUUGGGUCAGGAAUUAAUUGUUGGAAGCCUUGAAUUAGUUUUGUUAAUUUUCUUCCUUUGAUGAUCUGAUUUAGUUUCUUGUAAGUACAUCUCAAAGCUGGGUACUUGGAUCCUGACAUGGCCCUCGAUCGAUCUGCCUUUACACCUUUUUGUUCGCUGAUGAGUUGUGUUCUCGAGUCUCAAAGUUUGUGGUGUUCAUCUAUUGUGUUAUACUGUACAGAUAAUUAUAUAUUUUUUUCUGAGACAAACAUAAUUAGUCAGAGUUAUGGAUAAGUAUUGUGCCACUGGGCUGGCCCAGCUAGCACGGGCCCACUCGGCUAGCUCAGUCCUUGCAAACAUUCUCCUUGACGGCUGGGCUGGAGACUGGAGUCCCGGUAAUACACUCCAACUCUCCAAGUUCGCUCGCUGAGAGUGGCCACACGCGGACACGCCGCAUGUAAAAUACCCUCUUUUCUCCCUCAAAAUAUAGUUUUUCUC
rnacentral:lncRNA from 1 species